AGGAUAAUGAUUCUGUUUUUUUGCGCUUGUAGCCUGGUUUUUAUGAUGAUUUUGACCUUGAUCAUUGUACAAAGAGUGUGCAAAAAGCCUCCAGAAAAUAUCAUUCAAUCACCCAUUGCAGAAGAGCAAACAGAAGAUAUUUAUGAAAACUGCCUGGAAAUGAAUGUUAGACCACGACCCAUCUAUAAUAAGCCGCUCCAGUACAGUACGAUGGCACAUUAAUGUGUGUCCAGUAUAUGAAAAAGAGGAGGAGACUGCACAAAUAUAGGACCAGGAAAUGUUGGAACACAAUGAUUUGCAGGAAAUAAAACAGUUAACUGCUGUACUUUCACAUCCCCUUU